CCAGCCUGGGCACGGGGGACGUCCUGGCCCAUCCCAGGGUUUCUGGAGGGCGAGGGAAAACUCCUAGAAUGGAACUGCCAAUGGGCAUGGGAUUUCUUUUGGGGAAUGAGAAUGUUCUGGAACUGGAGCUUGGGGCAGUCGCAUGGCCUGGGAAGUGCAGUAAAUGCCACUGAGCUGUGCAACUUGAAGGGUGCAUUUCAUGCAUGUGAAUUAUGUCUGAAUAACAAGAAAAGCAGUCCCCAAGGAUUUGCACGAUGACUCACAGGGGCUAUGAGAACUGGACUCUCUUGGAAGCUGCUGCUGCACCACAAUUCAUGUGACACCCGCUGUCCAGUGCAUAGCACGGUGGGAACCUGCCAUCCAAGGAGGUUGGGAUUGGCUGUUGGUCAGAUUGGUUCCUUGUUGUUUUCCUUUGUCCCGGAGGAGCCUCAGGGCUUUGCUCAAUCAGGGCAAGGCCCACACACAGUGCUCAGAGCACAGCCGCGCGGAGCAAAUGUCACCUUGCAAAUAAACCAAUGUCCAUGUGGUACACUGAGCUGGACUGGGGAACAUAGGAAGGCAAGUUUACACCCCUGCCUCUCUGUGGGACCGGCUUCCCCAGGGCUGCACUCCCAGCCGCACAAGCGUGGUGAACUCUGCAGCUGCCCCAGGUCUCUGGUUCUCUCCUUGUUCUCUCUGCGCCCCGCCCUCCAGGUCCCCG
rnacentral:lncRNA from 1 species